rnacentral:rRNA from 1 species
AUUGAACGCUGGCGGCAUGCUUUACACAUGCAAGUCGAACGGUAACAGGCCGCAAGGUGCUGACGAGUGGCGAACGGAUGAGUAAUGCAUCGGAACGUGCCCAGUCGUGGGGGAUAACGCAGCGAAAGCUGCGCUAAUACCGCAUACGAUCUCUGGAUGAAAGCGGGGGACCGAAAGGCCUCGCGCGAUUGGAGCGGCCGAUGUCAGAUUAGGUAGUUGGGGGGGUAAAGGCCCACCAAGCCAACGAUUUGUAGCUGGUCUGAGAGGACGACCAGCCACACUGGGACUGAGACACGGCCCAGACUCCUACGGGAGGCAGCAGUGGGGAAUUUUGGACAAUGGGCGCAAGCCUGAUCCAGCAAUGCCGCGUGCAGGAAGAAGGCCUUCGGGUUGUAAACUGCUUUUGUACGGAACGAAACGGUCCGGGUUAAUACCCUGGGCUAAUGACGGUACCGUAAGAAUAAGCACCGGCUAACUACGUGCCAGCCGCCGCAGUAAAAC